rnacentral:lncRNA from 1 species
CUCCUCACAUUUAAUCCUCACAACACCCCUGUGAGGUUUAUCCGCUUCACCUGUUGCUGGGGAACACUGCUCUCCGGGGGACUUGGGGGACGACACUGUAAACAUGACUUCCUGGCCUGAUGGUGGCAGGGCUGUGUGUGCGAGUCACUGUCCAGGGACAGCACUGAGGUAGACCACGGUGACAUCGAGGAUGCCGCUGGGAGCUGUCACUGCAGGAAGGUUGGUGGGGAGGGAAGUCAUGUCACACCCAAGCAUCAGGGGAGACCCCCUGCCAGGUCAGGACCCUGAAGUCCAGGUCAAGAAUCUUCUACCUUGCUACGGUCCCCUGUGUUACCCUCCUGUGGUGAGAAGCGUGGGUGACAUGCCUCUUCCAAGUUGGACAGCUGCCCGCCAUGACUCCAACAAAUGUGGAGAUGACAAGUUGGCCAUCUAGCUCAAGCCAAGUGGACGCAGAAGCAAGCAACCGGGAAACUGACAAGACUCACACUAACUGGGCUUCUGGCAAGGACCCCGCAGUCUGCCUGGGGUUUGCACAGGGCAGUGAUCCCAGCAGGGCAGUGAGGAGUGUCACGUAUACCACGUGGGCACACCUCAAACAACAUUCUAGAAAGAACGCCCAGGCUAGAGUGCAGUGGCAUGAUCACGGCUCACUGCAGCUCCCACCUCCUGUGCUCAAGAGAUCCUCCCACCUCAGCCUCCUGAGUAGCUGGGACCACAGGCGCACGCCACGACGCCCAGCUAAUUUUUAAAUUUUUUGUCUUGCUCUGUCACCCAGGCUGGUCUUGAACUUCUAGCCUGGAGUGAUCCUCC